GAUGGACCCGCGUCUGAUUAGUUAGUUGGUGGGGUAACGGCCUACCAAGACCGCGAUCAGUAGCCGACCUGAGAGGGUGACCGGCCACAUUGGGACUGAGACACGGUCCAGACACCUACGGGUGGCAGCAGUCGAGAAUCAUUCACAAUGGGGGAAACCCUGAUGGUGCGACGCCGCGUGGGGGAAUGAAGGUCUUCGGAUUGUAAACCCCUGUCAUGUGGGAGCAAAUUAAAAAGAUAGUACCACAAGAGGAAGAGACGGCUAACUCUGUGCCAGCAGCCGCGGUAAUACAGAGGUCUCAAGCGUUGUUCGGAAUCACUGGGCGUAAAGCGUGCGUAGGCUGUUUCGUAAGUCGUGUGUGAAAGGCGCGGGCUCAACCCGCGGACGGCACAUGAUACUGCGAGACUAGAGUAAUGGAGGGGGAACCGGAAUUCUCGGUGUAGCAGUGAAAUGCGUAGAUAUCGAGAGGAACACUCGUGGCGAAGGCGGGUUCCUGGACAUUAACUGACGCUGAGGCACGAAGGCCAGGGGAGCGAAAGGGAUUAGAUACCCCUGUAGUCCUGGCAGUAAACGGUGCACGCUUGGUGUGCGGGGAAUCGACCCCCUGCGUGCCGGAGCUAACGCGUUAAGCGUGCCGCCUGGGGAGUACGGUCGCAAGAUUAAAACUCAAAGAAAUUGACGGGGACCCGCACAAGCGGUGGAGUAUGUGGCUUAAUUCGAUGCAACGCGAAGAACCUUACCUGGGCUUGACAUGUAAUGAACAACAUGUGAAAGCAUGCGACUCUUCGGAGGCGUUACACAGGUGCUGCAUGGCCGUCGUCAGCUCGUGUCGUGAGAUGUUUGGUUAAGUCCAGCAACGAGCGCAACCCCUGUUGCCAGUUACCAGCACGUGAAGGUGGGGACUCUGGCGAGACUGCCCAGAUCAACUGGGAGGAAGGUGGGGACGACGUCAGGUCAGUAUGGCCCUUAUGCCCAGGGCUGCACACGUACUACAAUGCCCAGUACAGAGGGGGCCGAAGCCGCGAGGCGGAGGAAAUCCUAAAAACUGGGCCCAGUUCGGACUGUAGGCUGCAACCCGCCUACACGAAGCCGGAAUCGCUAGUAAUGGCGCAUCAGCUACGGCGCCGUGAAUACGUUCCCGGGUCUUGUACUCACCGCCCGUCA
rnacentral:rRNA from 1 species